rnacentral:tRNA from 1 species
AGUAAAGUAAGUUAUGUUUGACUGUCUGUUUUCAAAACAGAAAGAGAUUGUUAGAUCCUUUGCUG